UUAAUCUGAAUAUGGGAAUAAUGAGG
rnacentral:piRNA from 1 species